rnacentral:rRNA from 1 species
AUUGAACGCUGGCGGCGUGCCUAACACAUGCAAGUCGAGCGGUAACAGGUGUAGCAAUACAUGCUGACGAGCGGCGAACGGGUGAGUAAUGCUUCGGAAUCUACCCAAUGGUGGGGAAUAACCGAGCCGAAAGGUUGGCUAAUACCGCAUACGUCCCACGGGAGAAAGCAGGGGAUCGCAAGACCUUGCGCCAAUGGAUGAGCCGAAGUCGGAUUAGCUAGNGGUAGGUAACGGCCUACCAAGCGACGAUCCGUAGCUGGUCUGAGAGGACGACCAGCCACACUGGGACU